ACGAACGCUAGCGGCGUGCCUAAGAAAUGCAAGUCGAGCGAGGUUAGAGAGCUUGCUCUCGAAGCCUAGCGGCGAACGGUCGCGUAACACGUAAGCAACCUGCCCUGAAGUUGGGGAUAGCCCUCCGAAAGGGGGAUUAAUACCGAAUGUGGACCCCGAGCGACAUCGCUUGGUGUCUAAAGUGGUAACACGCUUCAGGAUGGGCUUGCGGCCUAUCAGCUAGUUGGUGGGGUAACGGCCUACCAAGGCGACGACGGGUAGCUGGUCUGAGAGGAUGGUCAGCCGGACUGGGACUGAGAUACGGCCCAGACUCCUACGGGGGGCAGCAAUUAGGAAUCUUGCGCAAUGGGCGAAAGCCUGACGCAGCGACGCCGCGUGACUGAUGAAGUUCUUCGGAAUGUAAAGGUCUUUUCUGAGGGAAGAAGAAUGUGACGGUACCUCAGGAAUAAGCUCCGGCUAACUACGU
rnacentral:rRNA from 1 species